AGGACGACGCUGGCGGCGUGCUUAACACAUGCAAGUCGAACGGUAAGGCCCUUCGGGGUACACGAGUGGCGAACGGGUGAGUAACACGUGGGUGAUCUGCCCUGCACUUCGGGAUAAGCUUGGGAAACUGGGUCUAAUACCGGAUAGGACCACGGUCUGCAUGGAUUGUGGUGGAAAGCUUUUGCGGUGUGGGAUGGGCCCGCGGCCUAUCAGCUUGUUGGUGGGGUGAUGGCCUACCAAGGCGACGACGGGUAGCCGGCCUGAGAGGGUGUCCGGCCACACUGGGACUGAGAUACGGCCCAGACUCCUACGGGAGGCAGCAGUGGGGAAUAUUGCACAAUGGGCGCAAGCCUGAUGCAGCGACGCCGCGUGGGGGAUGACGGCCUUCGGGUUGUAAACCUCUUUCAGCAUCGACGAAGCGCAAGUGACGGUAGAUGCAGAAGAAGCACCGGCCAACUACGUG
rnacentral:rRNA from 1 species